UUCGGUGUUCUUCAUCUCAUCCGCUUGAGCGGAUGGGGCGAAUGAAGAACACCGCGUCCUGCGCAACGGUCAUGCGUAAUAGUGCAGGUGUCCUGCACAGUUGCGCAUGACGUCUUGCCCGACGCCGCCCUACACCGGUUCGCCUCGUCAACUUUCGCUUCUGGCAAAAGUUGAUUCGGCGUUCUUCCCCGGCUGGAGCGUGCCAUCCGCUGUGUGGUACCUCUCCUCUGCAAACUGUUGGUGUCGCCAGGGCCACGUGCUGC